AAAGGGGAAAAGAGUUUGGGGAUCUAGCGAGCCCACCUCCCACCCGUGUUUACUGUACCUUAGUUGCUUCGGCGGGCCCGCCAUUCAUGGCCGCCGGGGGCUCUCAGCCCCGGGCCCGCGCCCGCCGGAGACACCACGAACUCUGUCUGAUCUAGUGAAGUCUGAGUUGAUUGUAUCGCAAUCAGUUAAAACUUUCAACAAUGGAUCUCUUGGUUCCGGCAUCGAUGAAGAACGCAGCGAAAUGCGAUAACUAGUGUGAAUUGCAGAAUUCCGUGAAUCAUCGAGUCUUUGAACGCACAUUGCGCCCCCUGGUAUUCCGGGGGGCAUGCCUGUCCGAGCGUCAUUGCUGCCCAUCAAGCACGGCUUGUGUGUUGGGUCGCCGUCCCCUCUCCGGGGGGGACGGGCCCCAAAGGCAGCGGCGGCACCGCGUCCGAUCCUCGAGCGUAUGGGGCUUUGUCACCCGCUCUGUGGGCCCGGCGGGCGCUUGCCGAACGCAUUUCUAUCUUUUUUCCAGGUGGACACCGUAUCAGGAAGGGAUACCCUCUGAACUUAAGCGUUUCCACACGCUGGAAGUAAUCUUUCUUAUUAAUAUUAUAAGUUCAAUACUAUUUUAUUUUUUUUUCUUUUAUUUAUCUUUUUUCUAUUUUGUUAUUUUUUUUUUUUUCUUGUUUGUCUACUCUCCUUUUUUUUUGCCUCUAUAUUGUUUUUGUCCGUUCGUAUUUGUUUUAUGAAAUACAUUUUAUUGUAUGUCUGAUAUAAAUUAUUCCUUCGUAUCUAUUUAAUAAUGCAAUGUCUUUUUUUUUUAACUUUUUUACUUUGUGUUUGAUUUUCAUUUUAUGUCCUUUCUUUUUAGCGUUCACUAGUUUCCUUUCCUUUGUCCCUCUUUGUCCUCUUUAUAACUUCUUCUUUUUUCUUCUCUUCAUCUAUAUUUUUUCUCCUUCGUUUUUCGUAUUGCGUCCUAGCUUUCUUUUUUUUGUAUGUUANUGCACUGCAUAUCUUCGCUGUACAUAGUAUAAUUAUCAUUAUAUAUUUUUAAAUUGUAUAGUAUAAUGUUUCUUUUGUGUAGGAUGCCUUACUUUAUCACAGUUUAUUAUCAAAUCUUCAUGUCUCUCAUUAUCAUGUUUUCUUGUGAUAUAUGGUAAUUCAUAAUCUAUAGACUAAGUACAUUGCUACUCCCGCUAUUUGUGUACCUCAACUUCUAAAAUCAAUCUUUCUCGUUCGUUGACUACUUGUUCACUUUUCGUAAUUAUUUUAUUCAUAAAUGUUCCUCUCCAUGGUCUUUAUACUAUACAUUCCACUCUUCAUUAUCUUUUUUUCU
rnacentral:misc_RNA from 1 species